GUGGGGAAUCUUCCGCAAUGGACGAAAGUCUGACGGAGCAACGCCGCGUGAGUGAUGAAGGUCUUCGGAUUGUAAAGCUCUGUUAAUCGGGACGAAAGAGCCUAGUGUGAAUAAUGCUAGGAAGUGACGGUACCGGAAUAGAAAGCCACGGCUAACUACGUGCCAGCAGCCGCGGUAAUACGUAGGUGGCAAGCGUUGUCCGGAAUUAUUGGGCGUAAAGCGCGCGCAGGCGGAUCUGCCAGUCUGUCUUAAAAGUUCGGGGCGUAACCCCGUGAUGGGAUGGAAACUACAGGUCUAGAGUAUCGGAGAGGAAAGUGGAAUUCCUAGUGUAGCGGUGAAAUGCGUAGAUAUUAGGAAGAACACCGGUGGCGAAGGCGACUUGCUGGCCAGCAACUGACGCUGAGGCGCGAAAGCCAGGGGAGCAAACGGGAUUAGAUACCCCUGUAGUCC
rnacentral:rRNA from 1 species